AGAAGCAGAAGGGGUAAUAGGGUCAUUAUCAAGGAAUUGUAUGGCUGGAGAUUGAAAGAGAAAUUGAGGGGCGAUAGUUGUAGAGGUAUUGUAGUGAUCAGAGGAAGAAGGUAAGAGAAGAGGAGGGGUUGGGUUGAAAUCGGAAGCUUUCUUUUCCGAUUUGGACUUCUGAUUUCUUCUGAUGCAUUACAUAUGGGGGAAUUUCAGAAUUCAAAUUUCAAUAAUCCCAAAUCUUGCUUUUUCUGUUUAAUGUUGUGUUUUGGGGAAGAAUGGGAAAUGAGAUUUUGUGUUAUGUUACGUAGUUGUAGAGAGCGAUUUGCAAGGGCUGGCUCUGCCUCUGCCUCCCUGCCCUUUUAAAGAGCGGUGUUUU
rnacentral:misc_RNA from 1 species